ensembl:miRNA
UCAAGUCUACGGCCAUACCACCCUGAACGCGCCCGAUCUCAUCUGAUCUCAGAAGCUAAGCAGGGUCGGGCCUGGUUAGUACUUGGAUGGG